AACGUGAAAAUCACACUUCUGCUCUUCAAAAAUCCCCCGUUUGACCCCAAAAUCAAACUUUUUGCUACAAGAGUCCCCCAUGUUUCCAAAAAAUCACGCAUUUCCUCUACAAAAGUCUCACAUGUAAACGAAAAUCAUGCAGUUGCUCUUCGAAAAUCCCCCAUUUGACCAGAAGAAAAUGCAAUUUCUCUUCCAAAGUCCCCCAUUUAACCCGAAAAUGAGGCAUUUUCUCUUCGAGAAUCCCUGAUUUAUCCCCAAAAUCACGCAUUUCUCUUCAAAAAUGCCACGUAACCUGAACAUCACGCAUUAUCUCUACGAAAAUCACACAUUUAAUGCAAACAUCAGGCAUUUUCUCUUAAGAUUCCACCAAUUUAACUGAAAAUCACACAUUUUCCCUUCAAAAAUACCCCCUUUAAACAAAAAUCACACAUUUUCUCUUCAAAAAUCUCACACUUCUGCUCUUCAAAAAUCCCCGUUUGACCCCAAAAUCAAACUUUUUUUGCUACAAAUCUGCCUUUUCUCUUGGAAAAUCCCACAUUUACCCCAAAUCAUGCAUAUCUCUUCAAAAAUACCCCAUAUCCCCCAAAUUCACACAUUUUCUUGUGGAAAAUCCCCCAUUUAACGUGAAAAUCACACUUCUGCUCUUCAAAAAUCCCCGUUUACCCCAAAUCAAACUUUUUGCUACAAGAGUCCCCCAUGUUUCCAAAAAAUCACGCAUUUCCUCUACAAAAAUCUCACAUGUAAACGAAAAUCAUGCAGUUGCUCUUGAAAUCCCCAUUUGACCAGAAGAAAAUGCAAUUUCU
rnacentral:lncRNA from 7 species